UUUUCUGGUUUAAGAUUCUUCCUUUGUAGAGUUUUCUCUGCGUGGUUCAAUCUUUAGAGCUAGUUGUGCCCAAUACAUCUUGUGCAGAAGAGGGAUUCUCAUCAGUUGUGAGCAGUGCAGUUAUCUUCUGGAUUUGGACAUGAAUCAGAAUGUAAUUGCUUUAAAUUGGUUUGAAGAAUGGUAAGAUCCCCUUUCUGCACCCAAAAAAACAGGUAAAUAUUACAAAUUAGUCCACAACUGUGAAAGAAAGCUGAGUAGGAUAUUCUGCACAAGGUGGACUGACAAUAAGUACUGAACUAAGAAGACUUCAGGGGAGAGAAGAAAGACAAGAUGUAUACUCAACAGCUGAAAAUAUACCUAAGAGCCUAAAGAAAGGUGAUGCGUUUUGUGGGACAGCUGCAGAAAUGGGACUUUCUGAUCAUGGGAGACGGUUGUUAUUGUGGAACUCAUUCCGAUCAACCGCUGGAGUUUAGUAACCUGUGAGAACCGAGACAGCUUUUGUGUCUUCUGAGAAGCCUACCAAAAAAGUGUUAUGUUGGGCGGGUGGCAGCGCUGCAGGAUUUUGAUCAAAUCCACAUCUCUUGCUGGCUUUCUUAACAUAUGUUACAUUUUAUGUAAUGCAAACCAAGACAGCUUUACGAAACAGAUCAGUUCAGUCCAUCUUCAUAGAUGGAUGCCUUCAGCAGUGUUUGAAUUCAUGACUUAUUUAUUUUUUACUUAUUUUUCAGGGCAGAUUUGAGUAUUAUUGGUGUUAAUUCUGAAUUUCUAAAACCGGUGAUUUGCUAGUGCUGUUCUGUAAUGCCCUACAUUGCCUAUCUUUGCUUAGAAUUUCAUAUCUGAUAUUUUUAAUGUUAAGGUCAAUGUUAUUGAUCCUGUGGAUCUGUUCUUCUGCUGUAUUUUUUCAAGGCACACACACAGAGGGUAACUAAUCUUAAUAUCGUGUGUUUGCAACUCUGUUUAGCAUGAAAUCAGUAACUGACAUAUUAAUUAUAAUAAUCUGUUAAAUAUACUUUACCUACAUGUUAAUUAUAGCAGACCAUUCUCAUUUAUUUCUCUGGGUAGGCUAUUAAUUCAACCCAGAUGGUACAGCUUUUUGAGACUGCAACACUCAGUGUGAACGGAAUAAAUCAUGUUGCCAAGAUACAGGAGCAAAAAUGUUAUCACAUCUGAAUAGGCUUUAAAAUGAUAUAACUAUGAAAAAAUCUUACCUUUUAAUCAGGGAAGAGGCUUAGUUAGAGCAAGGUCAGUAGCCCAGGCCUGUUCUGUAAGGCAGGAAGCACAACCUGGAAGUACAGGAAUUUGUUAUGUGCCAGAUUAUCAGCCAUUUUGGGAUACCUUUCUUUCCUGCCAUAAGUAUGUAACCUGAAGGACACAAUGCAGAAUAACUCUGCCCCUCUAUUAAAACAUAAGAUCAGUUCCUCCUUAUCCCACCUUUCCCCUGUUAGUGUGCUCAAUAGGCAGUUCUCUGCUGGCUAUAAUGAGCAGGAUUUUUGCUUUGUGAAACGCAUUUUAGGUGAAACACUGCUUGAAUAUCUCAUUUAUUCUAAGCCUGCCCUCCUACACACUCAGGCACAGUUCUGCCAGGUUUACUUGUAGUUUAUCUGUCGAUUUUUUUCAUUUUUAUAAAUUCUAAUUGGAUGUAUUAGAGUGGCAUAAGCUGGAUCGCAUUUGUGUAUUUCAAAAUCCCCGGUUUUAUCUUGAUGAAUGAAUCAAGACAAAAAAAAAAAAAAAAAAAGAUUGUCACCUUUAUCUUCUUUUUUACCAUCUAGAAUAAAGUUUCU
ensembl:lncRNA